UCAGUUCCUGUCUCCAGUUCCUGUCUCCUUGUCAUUAUAAUUUGCCCCUAGUCGAUUUCAUUAAUUUCAUCGUCUGGCUAUAUAAGUCUGAUUUCUUGGUUGAAGUUAAGGAGGACAAUAACACUUAUCCAGUCCUAUCCAUAAAGAGUUUGGCCACUCCAGCUCACCCCAAUCCUGCAACCAAAUCCUCCACAUCCCUUAACAUUGGGACCAUCAUGGCCAAUCCAGAGAUCACUCCAGCCCCAGAUUCCAUUCCAGAGCAAUCAGUCAAGAUGGCCACCACCACACCUGAGCCCUCGGUCAAGAUGGUCGUUGCCACGCCUGAGCCCUCAGUCAAGAUGGCCGCCGCCACGCCUGAGCCCUCGGUCAAGAUGGGCGCCGCCGAAAAUGAGCCCUCAGCCAAAAUGGCCGCCAUGCCUAAGUCCUCUCCGGAGCUAAUGGAGGACUUAUGGCUGAUCGACUUCUGAUCAGAGCCAGUGUCUUCUCCAGCCCCUGAGUCCGCUCCAGUGUCUUCUCCAGCCCCUGAGUCCGCUCCAGUGUCUUCUCUAGCCCCUGUCCAGAGUCCAGUGAUGGCUUCAGCCCCUGACCAGAGUACAGAGAUGACUCUAUGACAUUGUUGACUCCAACAGAUGUGCCCGCUCCAGCCCGCGAACCCACUCCAGACUCCGCUCCAGCCUAGAAACCCAUAGCUCCUCCCAAGAAAAUUUUGGGGGGGCCCAUAUAAAUCGUGGCCAUAGUGGUCGAGCCUGGGGUCCGCGCCAAGGCCACGGAGGCUGCACCGCCAUAGCCCCCUGAACUGCCCUAUCCUCCAUGGCACCUUGAACUACAGGUACUGCCCUGGAGGCUUCCUGUCCUGCCUAAGAUUGUCCUAGUCAGCCUACAGGACAAAUAUUCAUAUGCCUGUAGGCUAUAUAAGUUAUAGAAUAAUUUUUACUUUUAAUGGGAUUCUGCUUUUACGGUGGCCAGGAAGUGCAAAACAACAUUACAAAGUGUGAAACACUUUUACGAAGCUCGAGACAAAUUUACAUUUUGGAAAACAUUUUUACCUAUAAUAAAACACAAUUAUGUGAGAAAAACACUUUUACCAAGGACAAAACAAAUUUACAUUUUAGAAAACAAAUUAACAAGACGCAAAACACUUUUACCAGUCCGAAACAAAUUUACAAUGACAGAUUCUUCACGGAAAGGGAAUGUACCAUACACCGGAAGUGGCGCGGUGAAAGGUGUUGUGGUUGUGGAGUAAAUGGCGUAAAUAAAGUUUAUGGUGACCGAACAUGGACUGCGGCCGAGGGAUGUUUUGCCCGUUUUGUGGCAAACACAUGAGCAGCUUAACGUGGUUUUGCUUUACGUGUGGUCGGUGUUUGGAGUUUCUAAAGGACGCGGGCCAGACGGAAACACAGGGGACGUCUCGACAGCCGGACAGUGCUAAGCAACGUAAGCUGUUAUUUGUUAUUUUUUAGUGUAGCAAAACGCUAGCUAUCUGAGACCAUGUGAAUAAAAAUCAGUAAUGCUAAUAAUGAUGUUUUGAGCGGCUUAUAACUUUCUGUUUUGAAACGGAACUCUGUCCAUUUCAGCAGAACAACCAUGCCCAUCAUACAAACAGUUCAUGGAGUACAGAAGCUCGAAGUCAGAAGAACGGCAGUCUUUUAACUAUUUUAACUAUGUCUUUACUACUACUACCUUUUACUCAAAACUACAUUAUAGACUUUAUCAUGGAGCUAAUAAUUUUUCUGUUUUAUCAUGUUUCAGAAAUGCACCAGGACAUUCAUCAACAAUUCAGCCAGGACAGAUAGUAAUAUCUGAUGCUGAGGAUCUGGAUCCACCUGAAAAAAACUUCUUGCUACAGUAAAUGCACAGACCUGUAUUCACCAAAUGUUGAGCAAGAGGACGAAGAGCCAGUUGCUGUCAAUGUGAAGAAUUUCCAACUCACAGCAAUAAGGCCAGGCUGCUGUGUCUGUGGAAGAUGUUUUGAUGUUUGCUACUGGGCUGUCUUCACUUCCCCAAUCUGGCUUGGAACCACUGCCACAAAUAGAGUUCC